rnacentral:rRNA from 1 species
AUGGUUUGCGGGAAAACUCUUCUCUCUCUGGUCUCACUUCGAGUCCUUCUAGAAGUAAAUAAAGGAAAUGCUUAUUCAACUACGGCACUGUCGGACAACCGACCGGAUUCAAGCCCUAGCCCCUCAACUCGGACGGACUUGUGGAAAUCCUCGAGCGACCUGCACGAAUGGUGUAACGACUGCCCCGCUGUCUCCGACAUGGACCCGGUGAAAUUGAAUUCUCCGUGA